CCCGCGGACGCCUCCCCUCGUUGUUCCCCGCCGCCCCCUCUCCUCCCGAUGACCACAUGCGGUGGCCGGAGGUCCCUGCCAUCGACCCCCCGCCCUCACACGUGUCUUCUGUAGGAUUCGGAUCCUCCUUUAGCAGUUAUGGAUGCGAUGAUGCCAGCCCUCCGCCUCUCUCAUGUUUCACCGAUCUCCCCGCACCGCAACAGUCGUAGAGGCGGUCCCAUUAGCUUGGGUCGUUCCACAUGGCUGAACUCACAUCGCUCAAGUAUGACCGAUGGGAUGUCCGUUUCCACGGCUCGCUGACGCACCUCAACAUCCCAUGAGGACGGCGCAGGUUGAGCUCCAUCCCCCGCCGUCGGGAACGAUGAGGGCGUCUAUGGCCAGGGAGGCGACCUCAUGGCGGAGGCCGCCGACGACGAGUGCAUGGCGGAUCUCCGCCGCCAGUGCCCCGAUUUUGUGCACACAGAGCAGAAGCGAUCUGCCGACGAGGCGGCGGACUGCAAGGUCAUCAUCCUGUUCGACGACGAGGAGUAUAUUAAAUUAAUCUUCCUCGACUGCGAUGAUGAUGGCAAAUGGCUGGACCCCAAGAUCGAUGGUAUGACACGGGGUCACGUACAUUAGGGGUAGGCCUACGGAUCUAUUUCCCAAUGCCCACCUAAGGCCCCGUACUGACAUGAGUGUCCUACAACUCAUUAUUGUAGUCAUGACCUCACUCGAUAUAACGUGUCCUCACUCAGCUUACAUAAGGUCACUCGAAUCACCUUGUGUCAAUAAAAAACGUCCUAAUACUUGGACGACAACAAGGCGAUGGCACCGAACAAGCUGCAAUGGCUAAGGACUUAAACUAUCACUUGAAGUGUAGUGAAGCCCUGCAUUACGGGUAACGCAGUAGUUAUAGCUGCCAUUUCUAGUAACCCCCGUAGUUAUUAGCAUUAAUUCAACUUGUAAUGAAGCUCGGUCGGCUGUGGCGCACUCUAUAUAAGCCACUCCCGGGAUCAUGCUUAAUGGUUCA
rnacentral:lncRNA from 1 species